rnacentral:lncRNA from 1 species
CCUUGGUCUGCUGGGCUCCAGCAGUGCCUUAUCUACCCCUGCCCCCUGCCUAGUGAGGCCUAGGGACAUAAGCUGAAAGGCGAGCAGUGAGGCAGCAGGCAAGCUUGUUUAAAAUCUCUCCUUCUCCUCCCUUUCCUUUUACAGAAGCCAAGGAGAAAUAGGAAAACUCAAAUGGUCCCUGCUCUAGUCUCAACCCCCAAGUUAAGGAAUGCAAAGGUGAGGAGUCGCCAUGGUAACAGCAGGGCCAGGUGUGUUGGUGAAUACUUAAGUUUCUGCAGCGUUGCCCACCCGGGAAGUCCUGCCCAGUGCCUGUCUGAGGGUUUGCAUUUUCUGGCUACAGGGGAGAAGCAUUUCAUUUGUUCUCCUGAAUGGGACAUUACAGGACACUUUUGCUUUUCAUUGCCUCCAUUUUCUUAUAAGUGGAGAGGAAAAAAAUCAUUUUCCUUCCCUUCCCACCCACUCAGAGAAGUGCCAGAAAACAGGAGCCUUUCCUUCAGAGGCUCUGCUGCCGCUGGUCAUGAAACCCCAUCAUCACUGAAAUUGCUCUAUUUUAAAGGUCCUUGAAGACGUUUUCUUCUCUGGUCGAGAUCCAGCUACACCUGAGGGCUGUGGGAAUGGGAAUCCCGACUGCUGAGAGCCCUGGGAGGGAUCCCCAGGGUGCCGAGGCCUUGCAGUCCGCUCAGGCCCAAGUAUGCCUGCAGCCGAGGUUGUGAAGUUGUCCAGCUCCAAUGUGCACCAGAAGCCCGAGCUCCCCACGCUCCUGUCCGCGGACCACAGCAGCAGCCGCCAUGCCUUUCGGAGUUAAUUCACAGCUCCCCUCCCUUGCGCCCGGCUCCCCCAAACCGCAGGCGCAGGGGACGCUUGGGGUCUCGGAGGCGGCUCCGAGCACCAGCCCGGCUCUGCGUCGGACUCUGCGAGGCUGAUCAGCGAGGCAGAGGUGGGGGCGAGGAUGGUGCCCGGCCGACUGGAACCGGCGUCCUGCCCCUACGCCCUCGCCCACGUAAAAGCGGGCUGUAAAAUUCCGGAAGCGAGAUUAGAGGCAGGGGAUGGGUGGGGCGGUGAAUCAGUACAUUCUUUCCUCCCGCUGCCUUCUUCACCCGGGUCGUCACCCUUGUGAGGGCCCUCUCACCCUCUCACGGCUUAAACAGCGCUAGGCGGGACCCCUCCCUGCUCAUCCGAAUGCCCUACAGCCUGGAUUGCUUAUUUUGCAGCUCAUGACCCCAUUUGGUUUCGUGUAGGGAAAUUUUAUUUGUUGCUUCCAACUGGGUCCUUUCCAUUAAUAGCCCUUCAUGGGCCUGUCUCUGCAUUUGUUAGUAGUUUGAAUUUAUUGAGCAGGCUCCAAUUAUGAGGCAGAAUCACUUGCUCUUCUCACUCUUUAGCGUUAGAGGCAAGGUUUCUGAAGACGUAGAGAGGAUAGGUAAGUUCCCCAAGGUUACACAGUGGAGAGCCAGGAAUAGCUCUACCUCUGUGAGUUGCAUACAUUUCCCACCACACCCUGUCACUUCCUUUACUUUAGGUCACUAAAAGUCAAGACUUUUUUUUUUCUUUUUUUGUACUGGGAAUUGAACCCAGUUCCUUGUGUGUGCUAAGCAAGAGCUACAGCGCUGAACCACAUUCCCCACCUGACAAGACUUGUUUGUUAGGAGUGAGAUAUCACACUUAUGGGCCACCUCCCACUGUGCUCACUGCUUUAUAAAACCAUUUUAUUCAUAGUGACUUUCUUCUUCUUCUUUUUCUCUUCUUCUUUGACAGAGUCUCACUACGCAGUUCAAGCUAAAUUUGAACUCACAAUGUAGUUCAAGUAGGCCUAGAAUUUAUGGCAAUCCUCCUGUCUCAGCCUCCUGACUAUUGGGAGUAUAGGUGUAUGCCACUACACCUGGCAUGUGCCAGCUACUUAAAUAUAUUACACACACACACACACACACACACAAAGUGCAUUUCUUUUCUUUUUUUGGUACUGGGGAUUGAACUAGGGACCUUGUGCUUUCUAGGCAGGUGGCAGCACCACUGAGCUAUAUCCCCAGCCCUUGGC